UACGAAGGGGGCUAGCGUUGCUCGGAAUCACUGGGCGUAAAGCGCACGUAGGCGGCUUUUUAAGUCAGGGGUGAAAUCCCGGGGCUCAACCUCGGAACUGCCUUUGAUACAGCAAGUCUUGAGUUCGAGAGAGGUGGGUGGAAUUCCUAGUGUAGAGGUGAAAUUCGUAGAUAUUAGGAAGAACACCGGUGGCGAAGGCGGCCCACUGGCUCGAUACUGACGCUGAGGUGCGAAAGCGUGGGGAGCAAACAGG
rnacentral:rRNA from 1 species